rnacentral:rRNA from 1 species
AGGACGAACGCUGGCGGCGUGCCUAACACAUGCAAGUCGAACGGAGAGCAUAUGAAGUAUUCGGUACGGAAUGCGUUCUAGUGGCGAACGGGUGAGUAACACGUGGGCAACCUGCCCCAGACUGGGGGAUAACAUUGUGAAAACAGUGCUAAUACCGCAUGACAGGGUUCCGGGCAUCCGGGACUCUUGAAAGGAGAAAUCCGGUCAGGGAUGGGCCCGCGUCCAAUUAGCUAGUUGGUGGGUAACGGCCCACCAAGGCGACGAUUGGUAGCCGAACUGAGAGGUUGAUCGGCCACAUUGGGACUGAGACACGGCCCAGACUCCUACGGGAGGCAGCAGUGGGGAAUAUUGGGCAAUGGGCGAAAGCCCUGACCCAGCGACGCCGCGUGAGGGAUGAAGGUCUUCGGAUUGUAAACUUCUUUGAUCAGGGAAGAAAGAAAUGACGGUACCUGAAAAACAAGCCACGGCUAACUACGUGCCAGCCGCAGC